ACUCGACUCCAUGAAGUCGGAAUCGCUAGUAAUCGCAAAUCAGAAUGUUGCGGUGAAUACGUUCCCGGGCCUUGUACACACCGCCCGUCACACCAUGGGAGUGGGUUGCACCAGAAGUAGAUAGCUUAACCUNCGGGAGGGCGUUUACCACGGUGUGAUUCAUGACUGGGGUGAAGUCGUAACAAGGUAACCCUAGGGGAACCUGGGGUUGGAUCACCUCCUUACCUUAA
rnacentral:rRNA from 1 species